rnacentral:rRNA from 1 species
GAUGAACGCUGGCGGCGUGCCUAAUACAUGCAAGUCGAGCGAAUGGAUUAAGAGCUUGCUCUUAUGAAGUUAGCGGCGGACGGGUGAGUAACACGUGGGUAACCUGCCCAUAAGACUGGGAUAACUCCGGGAAACCGGGGCUAAUACCGGAUAACAUUUUGAACCGCAUGGUUCGAAAUUGAAAGGCGGCUUCGGCUGUCACUUAUGGAUGGACCCGCGUCGCAUUAGCUAGUUGGUGAGGUAACGGCUCACCAAGGGAACGAUGCGUAGCCGACCUGAGAGGGUGAUCGGCCACACUGGGACUGAGACCCGGCCCAGACUCCUACGGGAGGAAGCAGUAGGGAAUCUUCCGCAAUGGACGAAAGUCUGACGGAGCAACGCCGCGUGAGUGAUGAAGGCUUUCGGGUCGUAAAACUCUGUUGUUAGGGAAGAACAAGUGCUAGUUGAAUAAGCUGGCACCUUGACGGUACCUAACCAGAAAGCCACGGCUAACUACGUGCCAGCCGCCGCCGUAA